rnacentral:rRNA from 1 species
GAUGAACGCUGGCGGCGUGCCUAAAACAUGCAAGUCGAGCGGCAGCGAGUUCUGAUUUAUCAGAAUGUCGGCGAGCGGCGGACGGCUAAGUAACACGUAGGAACAUACCCCAAAGUGAGGGAUAACUGCUCGAAAGAGUAGCUAAUACCGCAUGUGAUCUAAGGAUUAAAGCUUUACGCGCUUUGGGAAUGGCCUGCGUCUGAUUAGUUUGUUGGUGAGGUAAUGGCUCACCAAGACUACGAUCAGUAGCUGGUCUGAGAGGAUGAUCAGCCAGACUGGGACUGAGACACGGCCCAGACUCCUACGGGAGGCUG